AUUGAACGCUGGCGGCAGGCCUAACACAUGCAAGUCGAACGAGUGGCGGACGGGUGAGUAAUGUCUGGGAAACUGCCUGAUGGAGGGGGAUAACUACUGGAAACGGUAGCUAAUACCGCAUACCAUCAUAUGUGCACAGAUGGGAGUAGCUAGUUGGUGGGGUAACGGCUCACCAAGGCGACGAUCCCUAGCUGGUCUGAGAGGAUGACGAGUCACUCGUGAACUGGGACGAGGACCAAACUCCUACGGGAGGCAGCAGUGGGGAAUAUUGCACAAUGGGCGGAAGCCUGAUGCAGCCAUGCCGCGUGUAUGAAGAAGGCCUUCGGGUUGUAAAGUACUUUCAGCGGAGAAGCGUUACCCGCAGAAGAAGCACCGGCUAACUCCGUGCCAGCCGCCGCGGUAAUAC
rnacentral:rRNA from 1 species